ACCAACGUUCGCUUGCUGGGUAAAAGUGAAGUAGGCGAAUUAUUUAGCGCGCAUAUUCGCGCGCUGAAGAGAAAAACCGUUAUUUUUGACCAGAUAACAGUUGUUAGCCACUUAGCUAACAGGGGUCUGGAUAACGGUCUUUAGUCACACCGGCUCAAAUAUCUGGUGACAAAUAAUGGCGACAUGGUUUCCGCACGAUUACUACCGAGAGGAUACAGUCAGGAAAACUGAAUAUGACAGGCAUGAAAAGGAUUUGACAUGUGUGGAGGGAAAUGUUCCACUAGAGAAAACGUCUGACCACCACAACAGUGAAAAGAGUCCUGAGACGACCAACUCCAUGGGAGCAGAGCCAAAAGAUUGCACAGAAGAGGCUAAGACGUUACCCCAAAUUCAUAUCUCAAACAAAUCACUCACGAAUAAAGACAAAAUCUCCCUCUUCUGCGAUGAGAUAAUCGGGACGUGUACGGCCGAAGAAGCAGAGGAAGCGAUUGCCUUGUUUAUCAUUAAGAAAAUCGCCAACAAAAGGUCAUGGACUGCGAUCUGGAAGACUGCCCCCGAGGUCCUGUUGGAGAAUUGUGACACUGGGGAUUUGCCAUUUAUAGGUGUAUUUGUACGGGUAUACAUGCUGACACACAACAGAGAUCAGAGAUUGAAGCCCUCUCAGUGUGAGCUGUGAGAUGCUAGUUAAUGAAUUGAUAAACGCUACAGUAUUAUAGCUAUGUAUUUGUCUUUGUCUCAGGUAAAUGUUGCACCAUUUGAUGGAAAAUCCCUGCCACUUCGUGUCAGUGUCUGUGGCAGAACCGUUUUCCGCAAACAUUGCUACUCUGCCAAGAAAGUUGGUGGAAUGUGUCUUGAAGGAAAAUGAUUACUCGGUUCCAAUCUUAGAUGUGUAUCCUAUCGAAGGGUUGGGCCCCGAGGUAGACAGCUGAGGCCCUGGAACACAUUAGGUGUUCUUCUGACACUCCAGAUGUGUUUUCAGUGAUGUCCCCAUUGCCACUCUUCUGCUCCAGAUAAAAAGAAUUCCCUUCAGACACUGUCAUACAGCAACAUGAGUCACUGGAAGGAGCUCUGGAGUCGGGUUUUUCUGGAGACACCGUGGUUAUCUUCCCUGGGGAAUACCAGGCCAACAGCCUGGCCUCACUCAGUGAUGACAUCCUCAUCAAGGGUCAAGAUCAUGCCCUUUGAGUGUUAUUUUUAUCAGAUCCUUCUGGGCCCUGUUUCUCAAUAGCAUCAUAGUGUUGAGAACAUCUUAAAAGAGAAUAUUCAGUGUAAUAUUUGCAAUUCCAAGAUGAUCUUUGUGUUACAAUUCUUUUGGGACAUCCAGCCCUGUUAUGUUUCAUGACAUUCAGCCAUUUACAGAUCAUCAUGUAAUCCUACCAUAUAUUUUUCAUAAUUCUCAGCCCUUGUGGCUUAUAACACAGUAUACUGACAUGUGAUGUGCUGACAGGGUGUCUUCCAAAUCACCACCCUUAUCAGGAUCUGGAAAGAGGCAAGAGGUGGUGAUCAGCUCAGACCCCUCCCAUGACAACUUUGUGGCCUCUAAGGGGUCACAGGUGACUCUGCAGGACCUAACACUGGUCUAGAGGAGAACUUGGGAUGGCAUUGUGGUGGUGGAAUGAGUUGACAUGAUUUUGCAAAACUGCUAAAGUGUGAAGACAAAGGGGUGUGUGCACAAUCCCUGGAGCUCAGGUACAGUAGGACCCUAGUUAAUUUCUGUCUCAUUCAUUCAU